GAGUUUGAUAACUUUGUACAAUGCUCUCAGACACAUGGUGUGACUCUUGGGGUGUCCUGUGUAUAGCCAGGAGGUGGACUCAAUGAUUCUGAU